UACGUAGGCAGCGAGCGUUGUUCGGAGUUACUGGCGUAAAGGGUGUGUAGGCGGUUGUUUAAGUUUGGUGUGAAAUCUCCCGGCUCAACUGGGAGGGUGCGCCGAAUACUGAGCGACUAGGGUGCGGGAGAGGAAAGUGGAAUUCCUGGUGUAGCGGUGAAAUGCGUAGAUAUCAGGAGGAACACCGGUGGUGUAGACGGCUUUCUGGACCGUAACUGACGCUGAGACACGAAAGCGUGGGUAGCAAACAGG
rnacentral:rRNA from 1 species